rnacentral:rRNA from 1 species
GUUUGAUCCUAGCUCAGAUUGAACGCUGGCGGGAUGCUUUACACAUGCAAGUCAGACGGCAGCACGGACGGUCUGGUGGCGAGUGGCCAGACGGGUGGUAAAUAUAUGGGCGUGCUAGUAUGGGGGAUAACUACACUGGCGUGGCUCAUGCCACGCUGCGCCCUUCGGGGAAAGCGGGGGACCUUCCGGGCCUCGCACUAUUAGAGCCGGCCGAUAUCGGAUAAGCUGGUUGGUGGGGUAACAGCUCACCAAGGCGACGAUCCGUAGCUGGUUUGAAGGACGAUAACCACACCUGGACUGAGACACGGCCCAGACUCCUACAGGAAGUAGCAGUGAGGAAUUUUGGACAAUGGGGAAACCCUGAUCCAGCCAUCCCGUGUGCGAUGAAGACGCUGGUUGUAAAACACUUUGGCAGGAAGAAACGGCUGGAUAAUACCCCGUGCAAUGACCGUACCUGCCGAAAGAUAGCGCAGCUAACUGCGAUGCCCGGCGGCCAUAAUUAAUACGUGAAGAAUUGAAGCGUUAAUCAGAUACUGGGCGUAAAGCGUGCGCAGGCGGACAACAGGAAGAAAGAUGUGAAAUCCCAGAGCUUAACUUUGGGUCUGCAUUUUUAACUACCGAGCUAGAGAGUGUGUCAGAGGAGGGUGGAAUUCCCGCGAUACUGGCAGUGAAAUUGCGUGGAAGUAUGGAGGAACACCGAUGGCGAAGGCAACCUCCUGGGAUAACACUGACGCUCAUGCACAACGUGGGGGCAAACAAGUUGAAUACCUGGUAGUCCACGCCUAAACGAUGUCAACUAGCUGUUGGGGCCUUCGGCCUUGGUGGCGCAACUAACAGCGAUGAAGUUGAGCCAUACAGAAGUGAUGCCAAGAUUAAAACCAAAGAAUUGAGCAGGACCGCACAAGCAGUGGAUGAUGUGGAUUAAUUCGAUGCAACGCGAAAAACCUUACCUACCCUUGACAUGUCUGGAAUCCCGAAGAGAUUUGGGUGCUCGCGAAGAACUUCGGAACACAGGUGCUGCAUGGCUGUCGUCAGCUCGUCGUCGUGAAUCAAUUGGGUUAAGUCCCGCAACGAGCGCAACCCCUUGUCAUUAGUUGCUACGAAAGAAUAUAAUGAGACUGCCGGUGACAAACCGGAGGAAGGUGGGGAUGACGUCAAGUCCUCAUGGCCCUUAUGGGUAGGGCUUCAUGCGUGUGUGGUCGGGACAGAGGGGUCGCCAACCCGCGAGGGGGAGCCAAUCCCAGAAACCCGAUCGUAGUCCGGAUCUACAGUCACUACAACUCGACUACGUGAAGUCGGAAUGCGCUAGUAAUCGCCGGAUCAGCAUGUCGCGGUGAAUACGUUCCCGGGUCUUGUACACACCGCCCGUCACACCAUGGAGUGGGUUUUGCAAGUAGUUAGCUAACCGUAAGGGCGAUUACCACGGUAGGAUUCAUGACUGGGGUGAAGUCGUAGCUGGGCAG